AUCAAAAAUCCUCUAAUGCACUGGAUCCCAUCAAAAAUCCGUAGUUAAGCAUGCUCAGAAUAGAGUAGUAUUGGGAUGGGUGACCUCUCGGAAAGACCUAGUGUUUUACAUG
rnacentral:rRNA from 1 species